UUCUGACAGUUACAACUGACAUUUGCCAAGACAGGAGACUUAUCAUG
rnacentral:ncRNA from 1 species